rnacentral:tRNA from 1 species
GCCGCCGUAGCUCAGUUGGUAGAGCGCAUCCAUGGUAAGGAUGAGGUCCCCGGUUCGAUCCCGGGCGGCGGCU